UACAGAGGGGGCAAGCGUUGUUCGGAAUUACUGGGCGUAAAGGGCGCGUAGGCGGCCUUCUAAGUCGAACGUGAAAUCCCCGGGCUCAACCCGGGAACUGCGUCCGAUACUGGAAGGCUUGAAUCCGGGAGAGGGAUGUGGAAUUCCAGGUGUAGCGGUGAAAUGCGUAGAUAUCUGGAGGAACACCGGUGGCGAAGGCGACAUCCUGGACCGGAACUGACGCUGAGGAGCGAAAGCGUGGGGAGCGAACAGG
rnacentral:rRNA from 1 species